UACGUAGGGGGCAAGCGUUGUCCGGAUUUAUUGGGCGUAAAGAGCGUGUAGGCGGCCUGACAGGUCUGCUGUGAAAACUCGAGGCUCAACCUCGAGAGGUCGGUGGAAACCGUCUGGCUAGAGUCCGGAAGAGGAGAGUGGAAUUCCCGGUGUAGCGGUGAAAUGCGCAGAUAUCGGGAAGAACACCCGUGGCGAAGGCGGCUCUCUGGGACGGUACUGACGCUGAGACGCGAAAGCGUGGGGAGCGAACAGG
rnacentral:rRNA from 1 species